CAGGUCUUGACAUCCUCUGACACUCCUAGAGAUAGGACGUUCCCCUUCGGGGGACAGAGUGACAGGUGGUGCAUGGUUGUCGUCAGCUCGUGUCGUGAGAUGUUGGGUUAAGUCCCGCAACGAGCGCAACCCUUGAUCUUAGUUGCCAGCAUUCAGUUGGGCACUCUAAGGUGAUUGCCGGUGACAAACCGGAGGAAGGUGGGGAUGACGUCAAAUCAUCAUGCCCCUUAUGACCUGGGCUACACACGUGCUACAAUGGAUGGUACAAAGGGCUGCAAAACCGCGAGGUCGAGCCAAUCCCAUAAAACCAUUCUCAGUUCGGAUUGUAGGCUGCAACUCGCCUACAUGAAGCUGGAAUCGCUAGUAAUCGUGGAUCAGCAUGCCACGGUGAAUACGUUCCC
rnacentral:rRNA from 1 species